rnacentral:lncRNA from 1 species
GGCGCGUUCGCUGUGGGCGGUGCAGCGUCUGCAGCGCCUACUGGCCUCCGGGGCUGUGUCAGAGAGCAGGUGCAGAACAGCCACUUUGGGUACCUUUGAGGCCUGGAAAGGUCCUUGGAGCCAAUGAAGAGCCUGUCUCCAGGUAUAAAGAGGCUGAGACAGAUUCCCAAAAACAGUGACUCUGAGCACCUGAGGGCAAGAUGGAGCCCAAAGUGGGAGAGUGGGAGCACAAACAUGGAGUAGCCAAAAGGCACACAACAAAAGAAGGCAGCUUUACUGCUGUCUGUCUGGUACUGAAUACUGCAGCAAACGGCCACUGGACCAGGAGUGAAGAUUCAUCCUGAACAUCUGAGAAAUAAGAAAGUGUAGAGAACAGAGAAAGCCCUGAGGGAGAUUAAAUAGUGGAUGUGUGUGACCU